GUUAAACUUUGCUCAUCAAGAUGGUGUUUUCCCUCGUUGUUUAAGUUUUGAGGUCGCAUUAUAGGCUCAACAUGAAUUGGAAUUAUAGUAUUCUUAUAGCUGACAGAUUAGUUUGAAUCAGUUUUUUGGGGGAAUGAUGUGGUGUCUGAACCUGGACAGUAGAUGCUCUACUCCCUCCAUUUGGGUGCAUGUUAAUUAGUCUUUUACUGCUUUUAUAUAUUUGGCACUCUUCUCCGCGUACUUGAAAUUAAAUGUGAAUUGAAAUAGCUGCAUGAAAUGUCAUUCACAAUGUGAAUUCUUGUUUAAGUUUGAAUUUUGAUUCAUGUAUCAAGUAGGGAUCUCUGUUUAGAUUGUGACUUAUUCAGGUUUUGGGUGCAGGUUGAUGGCAUCAGGUGGGCAGUGUGGAAAUCCCUUCAUUUGUUAAAGCUUGAGAAAACAUUGUCUUAAGGCCUUACUGGAAAACUCCUUCGGCCAUCUUCGGCUGUUUUCAGUGUAUUGGUACACAGCGGUGGGGUGCAUGGUGGACAUUACUAGGCCUUUAUCAGGCCGAUGCUUUCCAAUCAUUGUAUGGAAAAGUUGUGCAAGCUCUAAGAAGAGGCGACCUCCGACUUCUUCGGCAUGCUUUUCAAGAGCAUGAAGACAGGUUCUUUAGGUUUGCUGUAUAUCUUGUCCUAGAGAAGCUAGAACUUCAGGUCUAUCAGAGAUUGUUGAAAAAAAGAUUUAUAUUAUCCAAAAGCAGAAGGACCCAAGAAAAGCUCACCAGCUGAAGUUGGAAGUAAUUGUCAAAGCAUUGAAAUGGUCAUUGAUGUGGAUGAGGUGGAGGGCAUAAUGGCGAUACUAAUACACAAAAGUCUGGUAAAGGGAUACUUUGCACACAAGAGUAAAGUUGUGGUUUUAAG